rfam:Triticum urartu cultivar G1812 contig717873, whole genome shotgun sequence.
CUAGUACUCCCUCCAUCCGAAAAUACUUGUCAUCAAAAUGAAUAAAAAGAUAUGUAUGUAGAACUAAAAUACAUCUAGAUACAUCCUCUUUUAUCCAUUUUAAUGACAAGUAUUUUCGGACGGAGAAAGUACUAC